CAGACUUGGAACACUCAGGAAUACAGACAGACGUAGGAAUUGCUUAAAAACAAGAAGUUCUCCCACCCUUGUUGGAGCGAAUGCGCGAGUCUGACAGUGAACCUUUUGGGAAAGAGCCAGCAUUGUAACCGUGCUCGGUGACUUCUCUGGCUUUAUAGGGAACAGAUGUGAGGAUAGCAAGGGGCGCACACGUGAAAUGCCUGGCAGGUACCCCUUUGUGGCUCUACUUACUUCUUGCCAUUCCUCUGCCCUCCAAGUGUAGAGGGGACACCGUGGGCCUUGGCAGUCGCGUUCCGACUCCGGUCUGGUGUAUGGGUUGCACUCGGUCUCUCUGGCUAUUUUGUGUGUUCCGAUCUGACAGCCCACAUGCCUCUGCUGUACGCCUCGGCCACAGGACACAGAGCACUAAGAAGACAGAGAACAUUCACAGUCUGGUGAGACAAGUUUGAGAUCUCAUAUUUUCAGCUCAUCCUUGAAAACCUUUCUUCGAUUUGACUGACCUUGAUGGCUCCCUGGAAUCUCACCUACAUUUUAUGGGAAAUUCAACUCUCCAGAGAGAAGAGCUUUCAGAUAGCUGCGGGACUUGCAACUGUGACUUUCAGCUUUCGCUUUUGAAUGAGGCUCCAAAUGUCUCAAUGGUGGCACUAUUUCCAGAUUUGGGGUAAGCCAAUUCUUUGUUGUUGGGGUUGUGCUGUGCAUUGUAGACUAUUAAGCAGCAUUCCUGGCCUCUACCCACUAGAUGCCCAUAGCACCUGCAUCCCCAUUGUAACAACCAAAACUGUCUCCAGACAUUGCCAAAUGUCCACCGCAGGCUAAAAUCACCUCCCAAUUGAGAACUAUUGAAUUAUACUAAGGUUCUCAGAAAGUCCUUCAGCAAGUUCUCAAAACUGAAUUGAUUCAAAUUGACUUGGUGAGGUCAGGGCACACAGAGAUUCUUUGUUGAUGGGAGUUGUAAAGGGCCUGCUGAACAUCCGCUCAAUGAAGUCAGGGGCUCCAGCUAAAAGGGUUAGGAAGCCCCCAUCUAUAGAAAACGUGCCGUGUACAACGUGAAAUCAAUUCCCAUGCACAACAAUGAAGAUCCCAAUUACAAUGAACAAACACGUUCUUCUGAACAGAACUUCCUCCCUGACAUUAUGUCCAUGACCCUGCACCCUGCGGGGGGCUCGGAUAUGUUACGUCUGAUUCAAAGACAACCAAAAAGAAGGAAAUAAUGAUUUCACCAAGAAAGGACACAUACCAAGGCAGGAAUAGACAUUAAGUUUUGCAAAAUUAAAUGACUACAUUUACAGUCAUGGAGGAGAGACAUUGCCUCAACUCGGUUUCUUCUGAUGUGUCUUUGAAACAGAGCCCUGCAAAGCUAAUCUGCUCAACCUUCACCUACUGGGUUCAAUGAAUAUGAAAAGCUGCCUUCCUGAAACUUUUCCUUCAAAGAGGGAAUGAUCUCCUGGAAUUCAAGCUUCUACAAGGUGGCUACCUGGUGUUUUCCACUUUUGCCGUCUCCUAAAAAGCAUCAUUCAAGCCUUGCCCUUUCAACCCACUGAACACAUAAACAUGCUUUCUCCUUAACUGAACUUAUGGCCACGAUGAACUUGAACUCUGAGAUUCACAGAGGAGAGUUUGUUUUAACAGCUGCUUUUACAAUGAAGCCCUGGAGUUACUACUCUCAAGACCCCUGGUUCUGAUAGGCCAUCUUUUCACUGUCCUCUGCAUUUUCUAAUGCCCAGCUGUCAAGGAACACCCACUGAAGUUUUCCAAAACAAAGGCACGAAACACAAGAAAGGCAAGAGAAUGCUAAUCACCAGAUGCAUGGGCAUCCUAUGGGGGAACCCCUUACAUGUGGAAUACGGUUUUUCUCCCCAAUUUAUUUUUAUAAAUUUAUUGAUUUCUUUGCUAGUUUGUUAUUAAUUGUUAGAGAUGUCCUGUUGCCUGAGGUUGCCCUGUCCGAUAUGGUAGCCACCAGCGACAGGUAGCUAUUUAGAGUAAUUUAAAAAUUACAUUAAAAAUGCAGUUUCCUUGUCACUUAACCAUGUUUCAAGUGCUCAGUAUUAACCACAUGUGACUAGUGGCUUCCAUAAAGGAAGGCAAAAAUAGAGAACAUUUACAUCGCUGCAGAAAGCUACUAGAUUUUUUUGGCCAAGGCAUAAGCUCUUUCUCAUAAGAGAAAGGGGAUGCAGAUCUUGCUAAGAGUGAUGGAUUUCUGGGUUCAGCCUACAUGAGUCAUCUUCCAUACUACCCCUGGACAUGCUUUCCUUGGCUGCCAAUUUUCUAUUUUAUAAAUUUCAGGAAAGAGAGAUUAUGGUUGUUAAAACCAUUCAUGACAAUGAUCCCACUUUAGAGAAAACAACAGCAACAAGCAAAGAAGAUGGUGUGGAGAUCCGCACAUUCCACAUCUUUUAAUUGGUACCCAUUAAAUAACAAAGGGAAAAAGUACCCUCAGACCACAACUCUCCACCUUGUGUGGAGGCCAAGGACCCAGCAGGGAGAAGGCAGAAGAUUAGGUUCUCCACUCAUCCUGGCUCUCAGACCACUGAACUCACAUUUGGGUUCUAAUGGAAUGGUGAUUGGAAGCAUAUUCUCCAAUAGGAGGUUUUUAAAAGUUCUGUGCCAUCAGCCAGGCAGCAUCUGUCAUUUAAAAUGACUGGCCAGUUGCACGUUUAAAAGCAAAGAUAAAAUUGCUAAUUUAUACUUACUGAAUAAACAUCAGCAGUAUCCAUGAAGGUACCUACCCUAAUAGCAAGUUGUAUUUUUAUUUUUAUGGUGGUGGCGAAGCUGCCAGGAAAACCAAAGCAUCAGUUCUUUAAUUACAUUUGUUUAGUAUUGAUUUAAUACUAAAAUUUCUCUUGCUCCCUUAGAACAAAGAGCUCUAACUUGUACACUGCUGUAUCCUUAGCACCUGGAACAGUCCCUGGCCUACAAUAGGCACUUAGAAAGUAUUUGUUAAAAAUUGAUUUUUUUUUUUUAAAGAAACAACCCAGAGUUUUUUUAUUCUGCCCCAACCCCCAACCCCUGGCAUUAAAAUAAAUCUUCCUCAACUGCCAUCACUAAUCGCCAGGAUUCCCUCCUAGCCAAUUAUGCUUGGACUCAACCUCUACCUCCCACUCCACAUUCCAAAGUUUCUAUUUCUUUCCAUUCCAGAAGGGCAACUCCACAACAGGAGUGAGGGAGAGGACCUGGACUCCUCCUCAGAGUCCAAUAACACUCCUAACCCUGCUCCCCCAACCUGUGGACUUUUUAAAUCCAUGAAAAUAGAACCUGUCAAGCUACCACAAAAUAGCAUCAGAAGGCAGGAUCAGUCUUUCAUAGGCAUACAAUCUCUGUAAAUACUGAAAAAAGAUUAUUAAAAGCCUGCUAAGUUUUGUCUCCAGUGAAAUAGAUGCAGGCAAGUAUUUUGAUUGUUCUGAACACAUUAGAGAUGAGUGCUACACAGAACUAAGGUAAACUUUGUAAAUUCGUAUGUCAUAACACUUUGUUCCACAAAAAACUAUCUUAUUUUUUAUACUCCAUACUGAUACAGCCAAAUAAUGUGGCUCUUAUUUUCUAAAGAUGCCAGCAAUAUGUUUAAACAUGUCUUCAUUGUAGUAAAAGUAUCAUAUUUAUAAAAAAUACAUAUGCAUUUAAUGUGAUAUUCCUUAUAGUCAAAAUCUUGAUAUCAUCCUGUUAAUCUGGCUAAAAAUGUAUCUGUAAAAUGAAAGAGAGGAAUAUUUUGCCAUUCCCUAAACAACAGUUGUUUGAAGCUUUUGUAAUUGCUGGUUAUGGGAAUUUACCAAUAACAGGAAUGAAUUUGGAUUUUCUUUUGCUGGAAUCAAAUGGACAAUGUCAUAAUUAGCUAAAUAAUGUUGAGGCUAAAUGAAGUUUGAGUUUUAGGCACAUCCUUUAUGGAAUAUAAACAGGAACCUAAAAGUUCAUUCUGAACAUAGGUUGUUUCUUUCUGCCAAAACAAGAUUAAUAGUCAGUACCCUAACGACAAGGUCCUAUCACUGAAGUAGAUUAUCGGCUAGUCAAAUGGGUUCCUAACAGCACCUCCCUCAUGGGUUAAAACAAGAGGGUUAAUGUGAUGUGUAUUUGCUUAAUUUGGCUUGUUAUACAGUAAACACACAGCAAACGUUAGCUAUUGUUAUCUUCAUUUCCUUUGGAGAAGUUAUCUUAUUUCUCACCUUAUUAAAAAUAAACCCUAACUCAUACAGGGACCCUCCUUACCUUGGUCCUUUCACCCAUGAAUACCAUAAUAACCUAUACUGCAAAAAGGAGGCUCAGGAGGAGGAUGAGGUAUCAAUAGGCCUCCGGGUCAUUUUUAUGAUUUAGGUAUUUUUUGAAAAGGGUAGGCUCUCUUGAAACUUCCAAGGUAGUUGUUGUAGUAUUUUAUUUUCCUUUCAUAAGAAAUGCUUUCUGAAAUGUAUUGCAGUGAACAAAUAACAAAAUUGACAAAUGCUGUAAGCCUUUUACAGUUAUCUGAACACACAGAAUAAAGUGUAAUCAAAUUUGUGCACAUUAGGUUUGCUUUUUCCUGUACCUAGCUGUCUCUUAUGUGUUCAGAACCAUUUCUUCCAAUCACCUUUUUUUGUCUUCUGGCUAUAAUUUAUCAUUAUCUACAAAUUCAAUAAAUGGAGCAUGC
rnacentral:lncRNA from 1 species